UACGGAGGAUGCGAGCGUUAUCCGGAUUUAUUGGGUUUAAAGGGUGCGUAGGCGGGAUGCCAAGUCAGCGGUAAAAAUGCGGUGCUCAACGCCGUCGAGCCGUUGAAACUGGCGCUCUUGAGUGGGCGAGAAGUAUGCGGAAUGCGUGGUGUAGCGGUGAAAUGCAUAGAUAUCACGCAGAACUCCGAUUGCGAAGGCAGCAUACCGGCGCCCUACUGACGCUGAGGCACGAAAGCGUGGGUAUCGAACAGG
rnacentral:rRNA from 1 species